AUGCACUGGAUAAUAGAGAAGAAGAGGAUUUUUGAACCUCCUCAGUCUACCGCUCUGUUUUGGAACAGAGGAAAAAUGGUCUCUUACUUAAAUAAAUGGAGUUUUCAUCUGCUGGGCAAGCUGAUUAUAGCUGCUGGUUGCAGUGUGGGAGUGUUUAAUGGAAUAGCCUUAUUCAUCUUUGACCAAGGUCAUGUUGAUACCAUGAAAUUAAUGGUAUGUAUUGAAAAGAGAGUUGAACUGUGAGGUUACUCAACAUGUGAGUACCUACUAAAUGUGUCAGGAUAUUAAAAAAAAAAAAAAAAAAAAGACAAGGAUUACUAGUUUCUGUAAGGCUAAAAAACAUGCCUGCUUAUAUAACCGUAUUUGUUGAGCUCUGGGGGAUAAACUACUUAAAAAUGUUUCUUCUACAUUGGAGUAGUGCUUUAAACUUAAUUUUAAAGAUGAAAGUUUUUAUUUUGUAGAAGAGAAGAUGUAAUAUAGAUUGUGAUGAAACAAUAUCUAAAGCUCCUAAAUUAAUCACAAGUGUAACUUAACAACAAAAGCUUUAUAAAUAUGAUUAUUUCCAACUUCCCCAGCCUCAGUCUGGAAGAGAUGCAAUGUAUGAUCUGCUGUGCAGCAGUGGUGGAAACAGCUGCUCACCUUCCUGACAGGGUGGCACCAACAUUGUCAUUUUGGUGUUUGUAGUGCAAUGCUAAUAGGCUCUAAGGGUGGGUGGGAUCUUCCGUUAAAUUCCAGUCCGUAUAGUAGGCAGGAUAAUUGAGUCCUGGAAACUCCAGUGUUGUUUUGAUAGGCUGCUUUAAGGAUCUAUUUUAUGUUCUUGUUCUAGUAAAUAGUUAACUGAAACUGCAACUGCUUUUAAGGAGUCAGUUACUUUUUUUUGAUUCCUGAAAUUAUGAUCUCUGUAUUUGCUCCUGUCCUGCUAUCUUUGCAACCGUGGUGAAUCCAUUAAAGGAAACUUUCAAGCAUGCCAUUCUUAUUUAUAAACCUUUGCAAUCUGGGGAACAACUGAAUUGGUACUGUCAGGUAGCGUUUGAUACAUCUUGCAGUUAAAGUGACAGAUACUUUGUGGGUUUUCUUUUUCCUUUUCUUCUAGAUUUUGUGGUUUACUUUGGAGAGCAACAGCAUUUUAAUUUAUCUUAUAGGUAUAAAAGAUAAUUUUGUAGUGAUAACAGAUUAGCAAAACAAGAUCUUCACCUUUGGUCUUGAGAGAGAACUAAAAUGGCAAAAAAUAAAAAUUAAAAAAAUUAUAUCCUUAUAAAGCAAUUUGAUUCCCUCCCUACCCCUCCCAACACCCUUGAACUUGUUACUCUUCAUAAAUACCUUUCCAACAUGCAAUUCUUAGUUAUUCAUAGUUACAGUUCUUAUGUCAUUUCAAAAGCACUCUGUACCUAACAGGCAUGAGCCUGAAAUUCUUUUGUUCUGAGCUGAAAUGAAAGUCUUAGUGCAUGACAGGGGGAAGUAAAUUAAACAACUGUUAUAGGGCUAUUUUUAGGUUCAGUAACUGCACCAGGCACUUGUUUGAUGCUUCUGAUUUAUUUAUUAUUUCUGCUUUAAAAAUUUCAAGGGAAGAACUGUCAGAUGUGCAUGUUGGACUAAAAGGUGUUUCAGGUCUACACUAAAUAUAAGGGUGAGGCUAGUUCACACCUGUCUCCUUUGGGGACUUCAGCUGGUCAUGCCUGUUGUGAUUUGUGUUUAUUCAGUUAUUUGGUAUUAAUGUUUUUUUGUUAUUGUUGUUUAUUUUGAGGAUUAAAGCAUAAAAGUGCCAAUAAUAAGGCAGUGCCUUUACCCUGCAUGCUACAUCUUGCAGUGAUGUCCCUGCAUUGCUCUCUAGCUUCUAGUGCCUGUAAAUAGUGGCUGCAAAUCAGUGUUGCAGCUUUGGCAGCAGGGGUAAUUUUUCAGGAUACAAAUGGAAAGUAGGUGUCCUGCAGGCUGUUAGGGGACUUUGUACUUAUCUGCACUUCCUGAUUUUUUUUUUUAUUCUUCCAUUUUUUCUCUUGUUUGUAGUCUUUGCUGUUAAGCAAAAAAUGGCAUGUUUUAUAUUAGUAUCAUUUCAUAUGGUUUAGUUCUAGACAAGAAUUAUCAGGGUUAUCUCGUCCAUACUCUGCCGUCUUAGGUCCAUGGUAUCUGUCUAAUGCUGCAGCUUUUCUUUAUACCAGAGCAGAAAGUGAAACGUUUCUUCUAGAAGCAGGGAAGGCACCAGCCUUCACCUCUUAAAAGACAAUCUGAAGUUCACUAUUUCAUUUAGUUAUCGCAGGUACAAGUAAACUGUUUCAUACUUCUUGCCACUUAAGUUUGGCUUGAUAUGAGACAAGUCUCAAAGGCAACUUACUGGCUGUCCUCUAUCUGAAGUCAGGAUGGC
ensembl:lncRNA